CCGUUAGUGAACCUGCGGAAGGAUCAUUAUUGAAAUAAACCUGAUGAGUUGUUGCUGGUUCUCUAGAGAGCAUUGUGCACGCUUGUCAUCUUUAUGUCUCCACCUGUGCACAUUUUGUAGACCUGGAUCACUCUCUGAAAUGCUAACCAGCAUUUUAGGUUGGAGGAAUUUGACUUUGUUGUCUUUCCUUGCAUUUCUAGGUCUAUGUUCUUUUUCAUAUAAUCUUAUUGUGAUAUAAUGGACCCUAUAUAAUAUAAACCUAUACAACUUUCAGCAACGGAUCUCUUGGCUCUCGCAUCGUUGAAGAACGCAGCGAAAUGCGAUAAGUAAUGUGAAUUGCAGAAUUCAGUGAAUCAUCGAAUCUUUGAACGCACCUUGCGCUCCUUGGUAUUCCGAGGAGCAUGCCUGUUUGAGUGUCAUUAAUAUAUCAACCUCUUUAAAUUUUGAGAGUGUUUGGAUGUGGGGGGUGUUAUUUUGCUGGCCUUCUCCAAGGUCAGCUCCCCUGAAAUGUAUUAGCGGAACAAUUUGUUGACCGUUCAUUGGUGUGAUAGCAUAUCUACGCUAUUGACGUGAAGCAAGUUCAGCUUAUAACAGUCCAUUGACUUGGACAAUUCUCUAUUUAUUAAUGUGACCUCAA
rnacentral:rRNA from 1 species